rnacentral:rRNA from 1 species
GACGAACGCUGGCGGCGUGCUUAACACAUGCAAGUCGAACGGAAAGGCCCUGCUUUUGUGGGGUGCUCGAGUGGCGAACGGGUGAGUAACACGUGAGUAUCCUGCCCUUGACUUUGGGAUAACUUCAGGAAACUGGGGCUACUACCGGAUAGGAGCUCGUGCUGCAUGGUGGGGGUUGGAAAGUUGCGGCGGUUGGGGUUGGACUCGCGGCUUAUGAGCUUGUUGGUGGGGUAGUGACUUACCAAGGCUUUGACGGGUAGCCGGCCUGAGAGGGUGACCGGGCACAUUGGGACUGAGGUACGGGCCAGACUGAUACGGGAGGCAGCAGUGGGGAAUAUUGCACAAUGGGCGGAAGCCUGACGCAGCAACGUCGCGUGCGGGAUGACGGCCUUCGGGUUGUAAACCGCUUUCGCCUGUGACGAAGCGUGAGUGACGGUAAUGGGUAAAGAAGCACCGGCUAACUACGUG